UACGUAGGGGGCUAGCGUUGUCCGGAAUCAUUGGGCGUAAAGCGCGCGUAGGCGGCCAGAUAAGUCCGGUGUGAAAGUCACAGGCUCAACCUGUGAAUGCCGCUGGAAACUGUCUGGCUUGAGUCCGGAAGGGGCGAGUGGAAUUCCUGGUGUAGCGGUGAAAUGCGCAGAUAUCAGGAGGAACACCAAUGGCGAAGGCAGCUCGCUGGAACGGUACUGACGCUCAGGCGCGAAAGCUAGGGGGAGCGAACAGG
rnacentral:rRNA from 1 species